AUUGAACGCUGGCGGAAUGCUUUACACAUGCAAGUCGAACGGCAGCACGGGGCAACCUGGUGGCGAGUGGCGAACGGGUGAGUAAUACAUCGGAACGUGCCCAAUCGUGGGGGAUAACGUAGCGAAAGUUACGCUAAUACCGCAUACGAUCUACGGAUGAAAGCGGGGGAUCGCAAGACCUCGCGCGAAUGGAGCGGCCGAUGUCAGAUUAGGUAGUUGGUGGGGUAAAGGCUCACCAAGCCAACGAUCUGUAGCUGGUUUGAGAGGACGACCAGCCACACUGGAACUGAGACACGGUCCAGACUCCUACGGGAGGCAGCAGUGGGGAAUUUUGGACAAUGGGCGCAAGCCUGAUCCAGCCAUUCCGCGUGCAGGAUGAAGGCCUUCGGGUUGUAACUAGCUUUGUACGGUAACGAAACGGACGAGCUCUAAUACAGUUGCUAAUGACGGUACCGUAAGAAUAAGCACCGGCUAACUACGUAGCCAGCAGCCACGGUAAU
rnacentral:rRNA from 1 species